rnacentral:rRNA from 1 species
GAUGAACGCUCGCGGGAGGCCUAACACAUGCAAGCCGAGCGGGAUUUGUUGGUUAGCUUGCUAACUAACAAUGAGAGCGGCGUACGGGUGCGUAGCACGUGUGCAACCUGCCUUUAUCUGGGGGAUAGCCUUUCGAAAGGAAGAUUAAUACCCCAUAACAUAUUGAUUGGCAUCAGUUAAUAUUGAAAGCUCCGGCGGAUAGAGAUGGGCACGCGUAAGAUUAGCUAGUUGGUGAGGUAACGGCUCACCAAGGCUGCGAUCUUUAGGGGGCCUGAGAGGGGGAUCCCCCAGACUGGUACUGAGACACGGACCAGACGCCUACGGGAGGCAGCAGUGAGGAAUAUUGGACAAUGGGUGAGAGCCUGAUCCAGCCAUCCCGCGUGAAGGACUAAGGACCUAUGGUUUGUAAACUUCUUUUAUACAGGGAUAAACCUACUCUCGUGAGGGUAGCUGAAGGUACUGUAUGAAUAAGCACCGGCUAACUCCGUG